rnacentral:lncRNA from 1 species
AAAUAAAAUUCCGCGAAAGUCUAUUAAUCUUUUUGGCGCGUUUAAGUCAUUUCAAAACAUGACGUCAUACAAAUGAAACCGCUAAAGUUGAAUGUUUUCUGUUACGUGAACCAUCGGAAUUCGUAUGCUAUUGUAUUAAAACUAAUUUUUGAGGUAGGUUUUGUUUUAUUUUUUAUUCUAUUGCAUUUUUCGCAUAUUUACUCAUUUCAGCAAGUCAACAUGGCGGCUCCUUAGUUGCAAAAUGUCGACUUUGGAUUUGACGGUAGCUUACGAGAAAAACAUGUAAAUUAAAAAUGGCAAAGGCUGGGUUUGAGAAUUUAAAGAAUUAAAACGAUUUUUUCUAGCAGUUAUUCAAGAAAUAAACUUCGCAAGCUACAUAUUUAUAAAGAUAUUUGAGCUUUAUCUAACAGGGAGUAAAAAAGAACAGCCACACACACAUCAUAC